UGGGGAACCUGCCCCAUAGUCUGGGAUACCACUUGGAAACAGGUGCUAAUACCGGAUAAGAAAGCGGAUCGCAUGAUCAGCUUUUAAAAGGCGGCGUAAGCUGUCGCUAUGGGAUGGCCCCGCGGUGCAUUAGCUAGUUGGUAAGGUAAAGGCUUACCAAGGCGAUGAUGCAUAGCCGAGUUGAGAGACUGAUCGGCCACAUUGGGACUGAGACACGGCCCAAACUCCUACGGGAGGCAGCAGGG
rnacentral:rRNA from 1 species